UAGACAUGAAAAACUCCUACCAGACAAAAAUAAAAGCAAAGAGAACAGACAAUGAAACACGAGUAUAACCCGAAUUCAAUGGAGAGCUCUCAUUCACAACUGAUCAAAAGCUUCCACCGACGUCUGAUCUCAUCACCUUGUUUGGGUUGCUGUGUUACAACUGCAUGCGUCCAAAGCUUCCGCAUUUUGUUGGACUAAGGCUUCAACACUUUAUACUUACGCAUAUGUCCAUUUACAGUACUGCAAAUCAUCAAACUAACCUAAAUGAGUUUUUAAUUUUUAGAUUAAAAAAAAGAGUUUUCUUUGUGUAUGUAGUAUCUAGCAUUAUCAAAGAACAUACUAAGCCAUAUAAGGGAAAUUAGGGGCCAUAUACAUAUGCCAAAAAAUAUUAAGUCCAUACACAUAAUAUGAUGAUAAUAUGAUGAUGGUUAUGAUAUGUUAUAUAAUGUUAUCCAAAGUUUCGAAAAUAGCCUUAUAGGCGCGUGAAAGGAGAAUUGUAUUUUUUUUUUUAUCUUUACCCUAAAAACUGAAAAGUCAGUACCACUUUUUUCUGUUUCCAUUCGUUGACGAACGCCAUUUGGAGAGAUCAUUGGAAGAAACAGAUUAGCUGAAAUCGAUUGUGAGGCGGAGUUGGCGAAGGAAGAAAUCUUAAAGCUUCAUCUUUGGGUUCGUGUUACUGGCAGAAAUUGAUAAUCGAUGUUAGGUUUACGGAGAACUGUUCAAAUUCGCGGCGAAAUUUGCAAGGCGGAGUGAUCUCCUACCAAACCCAAAUCCAGAUUUACGGGUAUAUUGGCGGCCGACCAAUAAAGAUAAUUUGCAAGACUAUUUUAAGUUUACAAGCUCAGUUAGGAUUUUAGUAUUUGCCUCCUUCACCAUGGCCCUCUCCAUGGUUGUUUCUGUGUUGUUUUCGUUAGUUUCCCCCCACAUGAUUUUCUGGGUUCGUGUUUGUGGAAGCAAGUUAUGUAUGUUGUAAUAUGACUAUACUAUCUGAGCGACUUUGAUAAUAUAGUCACCAUGUUUAGUAGAAAUAGUUCACAUAGCAAGAAUUGAUCAAAUUAUGCUAUUUUGCUAAAGUAAAAUAGUAUACAAAUAGUUGUACCUAUAUAUAUUUGAUCUUUGUCGAAUCUACCCAACAUAGGAGCAAUCUACCCAACAUAGGAGCGUUGAGUGAAGUUUCGUUUGCUUGCUCAUGUUAUACUAUAUUGUUUUCUUUGUAGUAUAGUUCCAUGCUAUGAUUGUGGAAGCAUGCAUGGAGCUAUGCAGUUGAACAAAGUUCACUAUGUUAUGAUUGGACUCCAUCACCGUAAGUAAACCUCAACACUUUGUUUUAUUCAUUUAUAUUGCUACAGAAUUUGUACUAUUGUUAGUCUGGUAUUCUCCUCGCUUCAGUACUAGUACAUGUCGGUACUAUAUUACUUAGCAUGUCUUAUAGUAUGGAAUCCUUUAUUGCAUUCAUGUACAUGUGUUUUGUUCUUUACUAAUUGUGUAUGUGAAUUAUGUAACUCCAUUCCACGUUCUAACUAGGUCAAGACUCGUCUAUGAUGAUGUGUGCAAUGACUACAUACUUUAUAUAUCUUUCAGGCUGCAACUACUAGGAGCCACGAUGAAGGCAACUGGCAUUGUAGAUGAAAUUUAUUUUUCCUUUUCUUCCAUAUGAUAUGGUUCCGUUCUAUACUAUUAUUUAUAUGGUGUAGUCCAUUUUUUUUGCUGCUUUGCUCUACUGCCUUCAUUGUAUCACACGUUCAUGUACAUGGCCGCAUUAUGAUGUAUAUGUACUUUUCGUGUUACAACUUCAUGCUAUGUUUAUUCA